AACGAACGCUGGCGGCAGGCUUAACACAUGCAAGUCGAGCGCCCCGCAAGGGGAGCGGCAGACGGGUGAGUAACGCGUGGGAAUCUACCCAGCUCUACGGAAUAACCCAGGGAAACUUGGACUAAUACCGUAUACGUCCUUCGGGAGAAAGAUUUAUCGGAGUUGGAUGAGCCCGCGUUGGAUUAGCUAGUUGGUGGGGUAAUGGCCUACCAAGGCGACGAUCCAUAGCUGGUCUGAGAGGAUGAUCAGCCACACUGGGACUGAGACACGGCCCAGACUCCUACGGGAGGCAGCAGUGGGAAUAUUGGACAAUGGGCGCAAGCCUGAUCCAGCCAUGCCGCGUGAGUGACGAAGGCCCUAGGGUUGUAAAGCUCUUUCACCGGUGAAGAUAAUGACGGUAACCGGAGAAGAAGCCCCGGCUAACUUCGUG
rnacentral:rRNA from 1 species